ACUCCAGACUCCUACGGGAGGCAGCAGUGGGGAAUAUUGCACAAUGGGCGCAAGCCUGAUGCAGCCAUGCCGCGUGUAUGAAGAAGGCCUUCGGGUUGUAAAGUACUUUCAGCGGGGAGGAAGGCGAUAAGGUUAAUAACCUUGUCGAUUGACGUUACCCGCAGAAGAAGCACCGGCUAACUCCGUGCCAGCAGCCGCGGUAAUACGUAGGGUGCGAGCGUUAAUCGGAAUUACUGGGCGUAAAGGGUGUGCAGGCGGCUGAGUAAGACAGAUGUGAAAUCCCCGGGCUCAACCUGGGAACUGCAUUCGAAACUGGCAGGCUGGAGUCUUGUAGAGGGGGGUAGAAUUCCAGGUGUAGCGGUGAAAUGCGUAGAGAUCUGGAGGAAUACCGGUGGCGAAGGCGGCCCCCUGGACAAAGACUGACGCUCAGGUGCGAAAGCGUGGGGAGCAAACAGGAUUAGAUACCCUUGUACU
rnacentral:rRNA from 1 species